AUUGAACGCUGGCGGCAGGCCUAACACAUGCAAGUCGAGCGGAUGAAGGGAGCUUGCUCCUGGAUUCAGCGGCGGACGGGUGAGUAAUGCCUAGGAAUCUGCUUGGUAGUGGGGGAUAACGUCCGGAAACGGGCGCUAAUAUCGCAUACGUCCUGAGGGAGAAAGUGGGGGAUCUUCGGUCCUCACGCCAUCAGCUGCGCCUAGGUCGGAUUAGCUAGUUGGUGGGGUAAAGGCCUACCAAGGCGACGAUCCGUACCUGGUCUGAGAGGAUGAUCAGUCACACUGGAACUGAGACACGGCCCAGACUCCUACGGGAGGCAGCAGUAGGGAAUAUUGGACAAUGGGCGAAAGCCUGAUCCAGCCAUGCCGCGUGUGUGAAGAAGGUCUUCGGAUUGUAAAGCACUUUAAGUUGGGAGGAAGGGCAGUAAGUUAAUACCGUGCUGUUUUGACGUUACCAACAGAAUAAGCACCGGCUAACUUCGUGC
rnacentral:rRNA from 1 species